UGAGUACGAGCUGCUACGGCAGCGAAGUGGGUGAUGUCAAGCUUCCAAGAAAAGCCCUAUACCCGUUAAGGCAUGACGGCCUGUACCCGAAACCGACACAGGUGGGGUGGUAGAGAAUACCGAGGGGCGCGAGAUAACUCUCUCUAAGGAACUCGGCAAAAUGGCCCCGUAACUUCGGGAGAAGGGGUGCCACCGCAAGGUGGUCGCAGUGAAGAGGCCCAGGCGACUGUUUACCAAAAACACAGGUCUCCGCUAAGUCGCAAGACGAUGUAUGGGGGCUGACGCCUGCCCAGUGCCGGAAGGUUAAGGAAGCUGGUCAGCGCAAGCGAAGCUAGCGACUGAAGCCCCGGUGGACGGCGGCCGUAACUAUAACGGUCCUAAGGUAGCGAAAUUCCUUGUCGGGUAAGUUCCGACCCGCACGAAAGGCGUAACGAUCUGGGCGCUGUCUCGGAGAGAGGCUCGGCGAAAUAGAAUUGUCUGUGAAGAUGCGGACUACGUGCACCCGGACAGAAAGACCCUAUGAAGCUUUACUGUAGCUCGGUAUUGUGCCCGGGCUCUGAAUGCGCAGGAUAGGUGGGAGGCUUUGAUCCAUUGCUUGUGGGUAAUGGUGAGCCACUGGUGAGAUACCACUCCUUCAGAGCUAGGGUUCUAACGGUCACCCGUUAUCCGGGGACCGGACAGUAUCAGGUGGGCAGUUUGACUGGGGCGGUCGCCUCCUAAAAGGUAACGGAGGCGCGCAAAGGUUCCCUCAGGCUGGUUGGAAAUCAGCCGACGAGUGUAAAGGCAGAAGGGAGCUUGACUGUGAGACCUACAAGUCGAACAGGGACGAAAGUCGGCCUUAGUGAUCCGACGGUUCUGAGUGGAAGGGCCGUCGCUCAACGGAUAAAAGUUACUCUAGGAUAACAGGCUGAUCUCCCCCAAGAGUUCACAUCGACGGGGAGGUUUGGCACCUCGAUGUCGGCUCAUCGCAACCUGGGGCUGAAGUCGGUCCCAAGGGUUGGGCUGUUCGCCCAUUAAAGCGGUACGCGAGCUGGGUUCAGAACGUCGUAAGACAGUUCGGUCCAUAUCCGGUGCACGCGCAGGAUCAUUGAGAGGAUUUCUCCCUAGUACGAGAGGACCGGGAGGAACGCACCUCUGGUGUACCAGUUAUCGUGCUAACGGUAAACGCUGGGUAGCCAUGUGCGGAGCGGAUAACCGCUGAAAGCAUCUAAGUGGGAAGCCCACCUCAAGAUGAGUGUUCCCAUGGCAUAAGCCAGUAAGGUCACGGGAAGAACACCCGUUGAUAGGCUCUGCGUGGAAGCGUGGCGACACGUGAAGCGGAGGAGUACUAAUAGACCGAGGGCUUGACC
rnacentral:rRNA from 1 species